CUCGCGACGGUGAGCUGAAAGCCGCGUCGCACCUGCUCUUUAACAAUUUAUCAGACAAUCUG
rnacentral:sRNA from 1 species